GACGAGAGACCACAGGGAUUGCCUUAGUAACGGCGAGUGAAGCGGCAACAGCUCAAAUUUGAAAUCUGGCUCUUUUAGAGUCCGAGUUGUAAUUUGCAGAGGGCGCUUUGGCGUUGGCAGCGGUCCAAGUUCCUUGGAACAGGACGUCACAGAGGGUGAGAAUCCCGUACGUGGUCGCUAGCCAUCACCGUGUAAAGCCCCUUCGACGAGUCGAGUUGUUUGGGAAUGCAGCUCUAAAUGGGAGGUAAAUUUCUUCUAAAGCUAAAUACUGGCCAGAGACCGAUAGCGCACAAGUAGAGUGAUCGAAAGAUGAAAAGCACUUUGGAAAGAGAGUCAAAUAGCACGUGAAAUUGUUGAAAGGGAAGCGCUUGCAGCCAGACUUGCCUGUAGUUGCUCAUCCGGGCUUUUGCCCGGUGCACUCUUCUGCGGGCAGGCCAGCAUCAGUUUGGGCGGUUGGAUAAAGGUCUCUGUCAUGUACCUCUCUUCGGGGAGAACUUAUAGGGGAGACGACAUACAACCAGCCUGGACUGAGGUCCGCGCAUUUGCUAGGAUGCUGGCGUAAUGGCUGUAAGCGGCCCGUCUUGAAACACGGACCAAGGAGUCUAACAUCUAUGCGAGUGUUUGGGUGUCAAGCCCGAGCGCGUAAUGAAAGUGAACGGAGGUGGGACCCCUUUUAGGGUGCACCAUCGACCGAUCCUGAUGUCUUCGGAUGGAUUUGAGUAAGAGCAUGGCUGUUGGGACCCGAAAGAUGGUGAACUAUGCUUGAAUAGGGUGAAGCCAGAGGAAACUCUGGUGGAGGCUCGCAGCGGUUCUGACGUGCAAAUCGAUCGUCAAAUUUGGGCAUA
rnacentral:rRNA from 1 species